rnacentral:lncRNA from 1 species
AUGAUAGCAGUCUGUGAGGUGCUAGGUAUAAAAGAAUGCGUGAUAGCAGUCUGUGAAGUGCUAGGUAUGCCCAUUGGUCCACCUGACAAUUCUCCCAAAGUUAUUUUUAUAUCCCUGUUGCUGAUGAAAAAGCAGAGGUGUGGCUCCUCCGUAGAGGGCUCUGAUUCCAGACUCUUGAGUCUCCCUAUCACUGUCCUCCGGGUAAGAAACCGUAUAAUAGUAUUCUGGGUACAAAAUACCCACACAAAUUGGCCAGAAAGCCAUAAUCCCCAACAGUCACGUUCUCUUGAAGAUCUUGCCUUUCCCUUGCUCCGUGAACAAGGAGAGGUGUGGGGAGAGAUCCAGUGCCUCACACCCUUCUUCUCGAGAAGAGCAGUAGAACCUCGGCGGGGAGGGCAGCAGCGGCCAGGGGUGACAGCAGCGGCGGGGCACGACCGCCGUUAGCGUUAGACGUUAGCGCUCCGCCUUCGCCUGGCAAACCCUGCGCGGGCUCCGCUGCCAGGUCACCCGGGGUAGGGCCGGGCGCGACGUCACAGAGCCGCCCCGCCCCUCCUGCAGCGGCGGGUUCCCAGGGUCCCGCUAGGGCGCUGCUGGGGGGAAGCUGAAAGCUGCUUUUGGCUUUGCUGAUGGUGGAAGGACCAGACGGCCUGGAGGCGUUAAGGAAACCCGGGCUGGGGGCGUUGGGGGUGGGACGGAAUGUGUAGCCAUUGACCGUGCGCUUUUGUAGGUGAGAGAGCGGAAGUGGAACUUGAUCUUUCGGCUUGUGGAAAGUGGACAGGUGAGAAGUCCUCGGGAAUCAUAGUAACAACACUUCUUACAAUGCGUUUUUUGGUGCCAGGAAUUGUUCUAAGUGCAUUACACAUAUGAACUCAUUUCAUCCUUACUGUCACCCCAUGAGGCAAGUACUAUUGUUAUCCCCAUUUUUACAGAUGAGGGAACUGAGCCCAGAGAGGUUAAACUUGUCCAAGAUGUCAGCAAGUGAUAGAGUCAGGAUUUGAACCUGGGUUGCAUGGUCCCAGAUACCUCACUCUUGACCUUAUAAUGCUAAGAAAGAGGGAUGGAGCGGAUAGGAGCAGAGCCUGAGAUGCCUGGGGACAACAGGGAAAGAUAGACAAUCUUUACUGGAUAGAAUGUGGUCACUGUGCCAGGGCACUUUUACAAACAUGAUGACAUCAAAGUCUCACGGUAAACUCUGAAGGUAGAUACUACCUUCACUUUGAAAAUAAAAAACAGGCUCAAGGCUUCCAGUAAUUUUGCUUGUGAUCAAACAGCUGGCAGUAGGGCCCAGUGCCCAGCUUGACUCCAGGUCUUCUGAUUUCAAGACUGUUUUUUUGUUUUGUUUUGUUUUGCUUUGCUUUGCUUUGUUUUGAGACAGGGUCUCUCUCUGUUGCCCAGGCUGGAGUGCAAUGGGGUGAUCAUGACUCACUGCAGCCUUAAUCUCCUAGGUCUAAGCAAUCCUCCCACCUCAGCCUCCCAAGUAGCUGAGACUACAGGUGCGUGCCACCACACUAGGCUAAUUUUUAUAUUUUUAUAAACGGGGGUUUUGCCAUGUUGCCCAGGCUGGUCUUGAACCCCUGGGCUCAAGUGAUGCACCCCCCCCCCUUGGUCUCCUAAAGCAUUGGGAUUACAGGUGUGAGCCACCACACCUGGCCUCAAGACUGUUCUUUUUAAGCACCCAAGGAGGCAAGAAAAGCCCCAUCUUUCUCUGCUACAUCCCGUGUCACUUCACACCCAUUUUAAAACUGCCCAUUGCAUCAUCUAAUCCUUCAGUCCAUUUAUACUACAGUGUGUAUUAGUCUAAAUAGAUUAGUUCACCCAGGGCCUUCAAAGCUUUCUCUGGUUGUGAGAUGAAAGCCUUUGUCUCUCCUUAAAGCAAUUUUAAACAUCAGUUAACAAGUAGGAGAACUAGAUUUUUGGCUUAUGCAUGCAGAAAGCUUUUUGCAGCCUGUUGUCAUCCAUUUGUAAAGAGGCCACUCUGCUGGCAUUUGUCAAAAUCCUGCAGGUCCUUGCACACCUGGAGAAACCUGGAUGAUCUGAGAAUGGCCACUGCCCACAGGGCAAGAUCUGGGGAUGAAAGAAACCUAGUCACUGGCUAUCACCUGCCUUUCUGAGGCCUCUGUGGAGGGGCUGCCAGGUGUUGGUAUAGGCAUCUGACCAACAGGGUGUGCCUUAGGUUGGGAGGGAGGGGCUGGAGGCUUGAGGGCUGCAGGUGCGUCAUCCAGGAUAACAAGAAUGCUCUGGCCACUAGGGUCUGUUCUGUAUAUGCACAUGAGAUGAAGAUGUGCCAAUCUCUUCCUGCUUUUAUGCAGAGUAAAUAAUGCUGGCAGGAAUGAAUAAUAAUGAUCUUUGUGCAGAAGAAGGGGUUUUUCAGACAAAGCACUAGCAGCUGGAGAGAAGAUGAAAUAAAAUAGAAUUUUAGUGUAGCAGGUUAAAUCAAGGGAGGAAUUUCAUGGCACUGGCUGACUGAGGUGGUUUGAUGUCUGUCCGUAGGAGGCCAGGUUGAGAGGCAUAGGUUAGAUUAUCCUUGAUCUGCUGGUCAAUAAAUAUAACACAAUACAGUCAAGAGAAUAUAAUUUUACAGGGAAAUGAUAACACAAUUCAGGAAAGUUGCUUUCUUCUAAAACAGAGGUAAGAUUAGAGAGGGAGGAGCACAUAGAUGUUACUGGUAGUGGUCUAGCUCUUGGGGUGGAUGGUGGGUUCAUGGGUGUUUAUUAUGUUUCAGUAAAAAAAUCUGUCUUAAAUAUUACAAUAAAAUCCUUUGUUACAUAAAUUCUUUUAUCAAGUAGGCUAUGUUGUUUUCUGCUAUUUUCUUGUACAAAUGAAUAUUGACUACAUCCUUUCUCAUCAUUUCCGUUUUCUACUAGAUAAUUCCCAUCAACAUACAAACAUGCUCUAAUUUCUCCCAUCAUUUUCCUCUUCAGCUUUCACCCAUUUCUCUGCUUCCCUUUAUUGCCAAGUUCUUUAAAAGAGUUGCCCAUACCUGCCACCUCUAAUUUUUCUCUUCUAAAUUUCUUUUGAAUCUACUUGAACCAGGCUUUCAACCCAUCACUCCACUGAAAUGACUUGCGUCAAGGUCCCCAAUGACAUGCUGUUAAAUCCAACAUCAUCUGUCAGCCUCGGCUCAACCUAUCAGCAGCAUUUGACCCUGCUGAUCACUUUCACAUGCUUGAAACACUUUUUUUCCUUGGAUUCCAGGACAUCACACUCUUGGUUUUUCUCCUUCCUCAUUGGCUGUUCUUUCUCAGUCUCUUUUGCUUGUUCUUCCUCCUCUCCCUGACACUAAUCUUGGAGUGCCGAGGAUUUACAUUUGGACUUCUCUAUCUGCACUCUCUUUUUUUGAUCUAUCCA